UCUGUAAGAUUUACAAGUAACGUGAUCUUAAUUAAUUUGUGAUCUUAGUCAUACGAUGUUUGCUUCUUCAUUUUGUUAAGCUCCUCGGUCUUUUUAAUCUGACAAUGGCUCGAACAAAUGCAGAUGAUGAUUUAAAGUCAAAGUCUUUACAAGCUGAGUUUGGCGAAAAGAGGAGCUUUGGUCGCGGUUUCUGUAUUACAGUCAAGAGAUUGCAACAUAUAAAAAAAUUACUAAUGCUCUGCUUCAUAGAAGGUAUGAAGCUACAUAUGGAGAAAUUCAAUGAUGGUAUUGUACUAAGAUAAAGGCUCCUUAGUAUAUUGAAACGAGAGUCUAUAGUGGGGACAUGUAAAGUUCCUAUGUUAUAAAUACCAUUUGAGUCAAAUAUCAUAUGUAAAUUUUUUCUUGAGUCGAUUUUAGUUUUCAACAAUGUUUUUGUUUUUAAAAAAUAGAUUAUUGUAUGAUAGUUUUAAGCAAUCUGCAGGAUAUUACUGAGAAAACAAAUCUCAUCCAUGCCCAACAGAGUGGUUAUUCCGUGUUGAUAUUGUUAAUAAAUGGAAAGAGUCUAACGGUUUCAGUGCUGCCCAGAUGUUUAGAGAAUAUCAAGAUGUCUGAUACGGCCUUACUGGUGAGAAGAGCAUUGUCUUUAAGCCAAUAUACUUUGUUUAUGGAUCUUCAAUAGAUUCUUUUGUGAAAAGGGGAUUAGAAGUCUUUUGGUUCAAUGGAAAAUUAGCUCAGCAGUCCAGUGAGAAAGUGUUGAAGGAUGCAAUGAAACCAUCACAAAACAGUUCUGCUUAUGUCUAUGAAAGCUGGCGUCGAACUGAAUCUAACCGCUUCUUCACACGUCUUCUUAACGACCAGGUCACCUUCUACACUCCUGGGCGUGACAAGUCAGAUAAUAGGAAAACAAAAGCUUGCUACAUGUCUCUCUAAGGUAGUUUUGUUUCUUCCUGAAUUGGUCUAAACAAGCAGAAGAAGGCUAAGGGAAACCGGAACAUUAUCUUCUGGUUGGACACAGAGGUAAACCAAAUCAAUUUUUUAACCAUCUGAACUUUUUUUUCUAAUCAAACUGGUUUUACUUAACGGGGUUAUGAUUUUGUUGUAAUAUCUUUAAGCGCUUGGAAUGCAUUGGAUCGUUUGGUGCAAGAAAAUUUUAUGUAUAAGAAACCAGGAGAAGAAGGUGGUCAAGUAAAGUGAUGGAAGAUCUAACUCCAUUAAUGGAGCUAUAAUAGGAGGAAGCUUUAUGCUUGGAUCAACAAGUCUCCACCCAUAAAUGUAGACAAGACAAUCAGUUUUUUUUUUUUUGCAAUUAUUAUUUGUUCCCAAUAGUCCAAAAACUACCGUUGACGAAGUCUUUUUCUUUUGUAUUUCUCAUUCACUAUAAAUAAAAAUUUCAAAUUUCUUCU